rnacentral:rRNA from 1 species
AUUGAACGCUGGCGGCAUGCCUUACACAUGCAAGUCGAACGGUAACAGGUCUUCGGAUGCUGACGAGUGGCGAACGGGUGAGUAAUACAUCGGAACGCGCCCGAGAGUGGGGGAUACCGAGGCGAAAGCUUUGCUAAUCCCCCAUACGAUCACAGGAUGAAAGCAGGGGACCGCAAGGCUUUGCGCCUCAGAGGCGGCCGAUGGCAGAUUAGGUAGUUGGUGGGAUAAAAGCUUACCAAGCCGACGAUCUGUAGCUGGUCUGAGAGGACGACCAGCCACACUGGGACUGAGACACGGCCCAGACUCCUACGGGAGGCAGCAGUGGGGAAUCUUGGACAAUGGGCGCAAGCCUGAUCCAGCCAUGCCGCGUGCAGGAUGAAGGCCUUCGGGUUGUAAACUGCUUUUGUACGGAACGAAAAGACUCUGGUUAAUACCUGGGGUCCAUGACGGUACCGUAAGAAUAAGCACCGGCUAACUACGUGCCAGCCGCCGCAGUAAUAC